rnacentral:rRNA from 1 species
UGCUUCUCUGAUGUUAGCGGCGGACGGGUGAGUAACACGUGGAUAACCUACCUAUAAGACUGGGAUAACUUCGGGAAACCGGACGCUAAUACCGGAUAACUACUUUUGAACCCGCCAUGGUUUCCAAAAGUGAAGACGGUCUUGCUGUCACUUAUAGAUGGAUCCGCGCUGCAUUAGCUAGUUGGUAAGGUAACGGCUUACCAAGGCAACGAUGCAUAGCCGACCUGAGAAGGGUGAUCGGCCACACUGGAACUGAGGCACGGUCCAGACUCCUACGGGAGGCAGCAGUAGGGAAUCUUCCGCAAUGGGCGAAAGCCUGACGGAGCAACGCCGCGUGAGUGAUGAAGGUCUUCGGAUCGUAAAACUCUGUUAUUAGGGAAGAACAUAUGUGUAAGUAACUGUGCACAUCUUGACGGUACCUAAUCAGAAAGCCACGGCUAACUACGUGCCAGCAGCCGCGGUAAUACGUAGGUGGCAAGCGUUAUCCGGAAUUAUUGGGCGUAAAGCGCGCGUAGGCGGUUUUUUAAGUCUGAUGUGAAAGCCCACGGCUCAACCGUGGAGGGUCAUUGGAAACUGGAAAACUUGAGUGCAGAAGAGGAAAGUGGAAUUCCAUGUGUAGCGGUGAAAUGCGCAGAGAUAUGGAGGAACACCAGUGGCGAAGGCGACUUUCUGGUCUGUAACUGACGCUGAUGUGCGAAAGCGUGGGGAUCAAACAGGAUUAGAUACCCUGGUAGUCCACGCCGUAAACGAUGAGUGCUAAGUGUUAGGGGGUUUCCGCCCCUUAGUGCUGCAGCUACGCAUUAAGCACUCCGCCUGGGGAGUACGACCGCAAGGUUG